CAUUCCUCUCUCUUGAUCUCAUGUGAUCUUCUUCUUCUCCAUUUCUCUUCCUUUUCGAUCUCACUUGUUCUUCUUCUUCUCCAUUUAUUCCUUUUCGAUAUCUCUCUCUUUGUUCGCAAGUCCUCUUCUUCAUAGAUCUAGGUGAGAAAGAUCUUCACAAAAUCGUUCCAUCGUCCAUCAAAGAUAUUCACAAAGAAAUUCUAUUGUCAUCACCAAAUCAAGCUUCUUCUUCUCUUAGCAAAGACCAUCCGGCGAAGUUGUCUUCUUCUUCUUUUUUCCGGUAAGUUUCAUGUUAUUAGUUGAAGCAGAGCUUUCGAUUAAAGUUACUUUAUGAGUUUGCUUAAGAUCUCUCUCAAUCAAUUGGGUCUAGAAUCUAUCUAAUUGCUUCAAGCUUUAAAGAUAUAAAGCAUAUAUAGAUAAUUUGAAUUUAUUCAUGUAUUGAAGUAGUUGUAUUUUUGACUUUGUUUGGUGUUGGGUGGAUAUGCGUUUGGAGUUGCAAUAAGCUUCUCACUUAUUUUUUCAACUUUGAUAGAUUCUUGCUCCU